GCAAAGUUUGGGAUCCACAGUCUACAAAACCCCACAUCCCCUGAGAAUUCUCUCGCCUGCCUUAGGCACUUAGGCUCCGGGAGAUUGCAAAUAACCUGCUUUCUUUCUGUUCCCGGGCUGCGUUCGGACUCCUGUCAGAUAGUAAAUCCUAAGUGGCGUCGGACCCCUGUCAGAGAGUAAAUCUCAAGUAAGGUACCUGCCAUCGGCAGAUUUGAGCUUUCUUCUUGGACACCUAAUACCCACAGUCCUCCAGGCUCCGGUAGACUGCAAAUGACCUGCUUUCUUUCUGUUCCCGGGCUGCGUUUGGACCCCUGUCGGAUAGUAAAUCCCAAGCUCCGGUAGACUGCAAAUGACCUGCUUUCUUUCUGUUCCCGGGCUGCGUUUGGACCCCUGUCGGACAGUAAAUCCCAAGAAUGGAACAGAUAAGAAGAUACUGAAAUUGGACGGUGCUGCCGUGCGGCUGCCGCAGGACACCUUUAAUAUCCCUGUUUCUCAGGCUGUAGAUGAAGGGGUUCAGCAUGGAGGUGAUCACCGUGUACAUCACUGAGGCCACUGCAGCCUUUCUCGGGGAAGAUGACACAUCUGAACUGAGGUACCCUCCAAAGCCUGUUCCGUAAAAUCAGCAAACAACUGACAGGAUAACUUCAGGAAGUGGGUAUUAAUUCUCACGGUAUAAGUGAAGACAUUAAGCACCAGAGUUUAAGUAGCUUGAUCCACUGAAAGAGAUUCAACUGUGUGGAACCUAUGCCGUGGAGAAUUGCUUUCUGCCAUUGUUAUCGUCCAGCAGUUGCCGAAUAGCUCUGACCUGAGCAAAGCAGUGAAACGCGGUGCUGUUGAGUGGGUUGCCACUGCACCUUUUUCAACUACUCUAGUCUUGUGGAGAAAAUACCCCUUCUAAAUUUUUUCUUCAUUGAAUACUCUCCCUCAGCUCCAGAGUACCAUAUAGAGUUUUCUUGUAUUUUAGAGUUACUGUUUUAUCAAAGUUUACCAGUCUUUUGUAUUACAUUUCUCCUGUCUAAAUCGACUGUGUGGUUUCUACUCAUUAUGGAUAUAGAUUGAUACAAACUCAAUAAAUAUUUUUGAAUGAAUAA
rnacentral:lncRNA from 1 species